rnacentral:SRP_RNA from 1 species
GCCAGGCAUGGUGGUGCAUGCCUGUAAUCCCAGCUACUUGGGAGGCUGAGGCAGGAGAAUUGCUUGAACGCAGGAGGUGAAGGUUGCAGUGAGCCAAGAUCGCACCACUGCACUCCAGCCUGGGUGACAGAGCAAGACUCUGUCUCCA